rnacentral:rRNA from 1 species
AUUGAACGCUGGCGGAAUGCUUUACACAUGCAAGUCGAGCGGCAGCGCGGGGGCAACCCUGGCGGCGAGCGGCGAACGGGUGAGUAACAUAUCGGAACGUACCCAGUCGUGGGGGAUAACUAUCCGAAAGGAUAGCUAAUACCGCAUACGACCUGAGGGUGAAAGCGGGGGACCGUAAGGCCUCGCGCGAUUGGAGCGGCCGAUAUCGGAUUAGCUAGUUGGUGAGGUAAAGGCUCACCAAGGCGACGAUCCGUAGCUGGUCUGAGAGGACGACCAGCCACACUGGAACUGAGACACGGUCCAGACUCCUACGGGAGGCAGCAGUGGGGAAUUUUGGACAAUGGGGGCAACCCUGAUCCAGCCAUUCCGCGUGAGUGAAGAAGGCCUUCGGGUUGUAAAGCUCUUUCAGCAGGAACGAAACGGUGGUCCCUAAUACGGGCUACUAAUGACGGUACCUGAAGAAGAAGCACCGGCUAACUACGUGCCAGCAGCCGCGGUAAUACGUAGGGUGCGAGCGUUAAUCGGAAUUACUGGGCG